CCUACGGGAGGCAGCAGUGAGGAAUAUUCGUCAAUGGACGCGAGUCUGAACCAGCCAAGUCGCGUGAAGGAUGACUGCCCUAUGGGUUGUAAACUUCUUUUAUAUGGGAAUAAAAUGUUCCACGGAUGGGAUUUUGUAUGUACCAUAUGAAUAAGGAUAGGCUAACUCAGGGCCAGCAGCCGCGGUAAUACGGAGGGUCCGAGCGUUGUCCGGAUUUAUUGGGUUUAAAGGGAGCGUAGGUGGACUGUUGAGUCAGUUGUGAAAGUUUGCGGCUCAACCGUAAAAUUGCAGUUGAAACUGGCAGUCUUGAGUACAGUAGAGGUCGGCGGAAUUCGUGGUGUAGCGGUGAAAUGCUUAGAUAUCACGAAGAACUCCGAUUGCGAAGGCAGUUCACUGGACUGCAACUGACACUGAGGCUCGAAAGUGUGGGUAUCAAACAGGAUUAGAUACCCUUGUAGUC
rnacentral:rRNA from 1 species